rnacentral:lncRNA from 1 species
CUUAAAUCUAGCCUCAUAAAAAUAUUUUUGACUUAUCCUCCAAUUUUCAUAAUUUUCUUAGACUGUGCAUUUUCUGCUAAUUUAUCUGUCCCGUUUCUCACAGAAAAUCCUAAAUCUUCUGUUUUCGCUCCGAUUUCAGCACAGGUCAUUCCCAACCUAUAUUUCACUUCUCUAAAUCUAAUAAAAAUAGUAUUUCAUACUAUUUUUAUUUAUUUUUAUUUUUAUAUCUAAAUCCGGUAUAUUACAUUACACUGCAACCUCACCGGAACCAUUUAAAUGUACACCGUAACUUCAUAUUUUUAGAAGUCCGGUACCUUACAACAGAAGUUCGGUACCUUACAAUGACUCUUUCUCUCAUUCUCUCCCUCACAUUACACUAAAAGGCUCUCUCUCUCUCUAGGAUCUCUCUCUCUCUCUCUCUCCCUCAAGAGGUGGAGCUAGGAGGAGGAUUUGGUGGGGAAGAAAGCCAAGGAGUGAAGCUACUCCUUCAUCUUCUCCAUUAGCUUGAGGAAAGGAAAGCUUUAGAGGUAAGCUUUGAGCUCUCUCAUGGUAGAGGACUAGAAUGAGAACCAAAUGGCCUAUAAAUGGUUUUGAUAGGAUCUCUAGAUGUAAAUAAGCUUACUUUUGCUUAUCUUAGAGAUCAAAACAAGAGUAGGGCUAUAUGUGAAAGUUAGAGCACCCAAAUUUAGGGCUUUUGUCAUGGUUGGUUCUAAAGGCAAAUUAACCUUAUACAAACUUAAUUGGGGGUAUUUCCGACGCGUUGGUGCGCUCGGUUCGGUGAUCCGACGAGUGUACGCAAAGAAAUUGACGAAAAUGUCGAUUUAGGUACAGAUUGCCGCAGUAUGCGAAAUAGGCAGCCAAAAAUCGUGAAACUUGAACCCUUGCACCUAAGUAACCAUACGAGGUGGGUGGUGCUCUUCAAACUCAUUGAAUUUUCUUUUAUGUCUAAAGUGUCGCUUAUUGAGCAUAUGUAUAUGAUGAGUUUCAUGCAUUGUAGGGUGAUUGAGAUUGCGUUUACAUGAGUUAUUGCAUGUUGUGAGUACAAAUGCAUUAUGAGAUAGUUGAGAACCUUUGAACCCUAUGCAUGCAUGAUUGGUGAUAAAAGAAGCUAAAUGAGGUAAAGAACCUUGUGACACUAUGACAUGUGAAUCGAGUGGCAUUAGUAAAUAUAAUAAAUGCUAGAGUUGAACUCAUAGUUGAGUGGCAUUAAAGACUAAAGAAUUGCUAGUGUACAAGUGUGGCACUAAUGAAUAUAUAUUGAAUGCUAGAGCAUGAAACACUAGAGUUAGUGUGUGGCAUUGUUGAGUAUUGAAUGUUAGAGACUGAGUAUAAGAACAUGUAGUGUAAAUGACACUAAUGGUAUUAGACGAUGCAAGUAUAUGAGCAAGUUGAUAUUAUGACAUAACAACCUUAUAGUUAAGGGUCAUAUGAGCAUUGCAACCUUAUAGUUAAAGGUCAUAUGAGCAUUGCAACCUUAUAGUUAAGGUUUGAUUGAACUUGGAAAUCCUUAUAGUUAAGGAUUUGAUCAUACUCACCUAUACGUCUUGGCUUAAGGGUGGUCGCGCCCCCUCGAGCGAUGAGCUCCGGAGUAGUCAUCACUGGGUCGUAGUAGUCUCCCCAGAGGACGGUCUCGUCGGGUCAUAGUAGUCUCCCCAAUACUUGGGAUUAUGAGUUGGUGAGUUGUGGGCAAACCUACGGGUUAGCCAAGAGAUUGGGUAAGUGAAUUGGGAUCUUGCAUUCAUCAUGAGUAAUUUAUUUGAGCAUCAUUAUUGAUUAUAUAUUGUUCAGGCAUAUUAGCUGCAUUGUAUAGCUUUGUUAUUAUCUACCUGUUUUCUUCUAUUAUGCCUGAUUUAGACCUGGUGGGAAAGUCGGCGAGGUUGGUGGUCGAACCCACUGGGAACUUUGUUGUAGUUCUCACCCCACAAUUUCCACAGAGCCGGGACCGAGUGAGCCGGCGGACGAUCGCGGUAAGGGUAUCGCACCGUAGACAGUGACCGCCUGAGUCGGUUUUAUUAUUUGCAUAGUCGCAUACCCUUAUGACUAGGGGUGGCAAUCCAGCUCGCUGUUUGCGAGCCAUCUCGUGUUCGGCUCGAAAUGAGCUCGAGAUCGGUUCACUCGUUUAGUAAAUGUGCCGAACACGAGCUGGAUUUUUCAGCUCGUUUAAUAAACGAUCCGAACACGAGCUAGGGUCAGCUCGCUCGUGUUCGGCUUGAUAACAGCUCGAUUAUAUUUAUUUUAUAUUAAUAUAUUUUUAUAUGUUAUAUAUAUAUAAUUAUAUUUGUAUAUGAAUAUAUAAUACUAAUUAUUAGUUUUAAAUUUUUAGCCCAAUUUUACAAAAAAGCUCAGCUUAUUUAUUUAUAAAAGAGGCCCAUAGGCCCAUUUAUAUUUAAAAUUUUAACCGUUGGAUUAAAAUCUAAUGGUUAAUAUUGCAUCAACCUUUUAAGUCCUUCUAUGAUUCUAUACCUAUUUCCUAACCCUAGUUUUCUUUUCACACAUGUUUUCACACUUCACACAGCCAUGGGCGGCGGCGGCGAUCACCACGGAGGCGGAGGCCACGGCCACGUGCAUGGCCAUGACGGAGAGGUAGGGGAUUUCAGGAAGAAGGUGUGGAGCAUGACGGGGGGGCCCUACUGCCGCCCCAAGCACUAGCGCCGUAAUACGUCGAUCGCCAUGGCCGGGAUCUUCCUCAUCUGCGUCCCCAUCACCAUGAAAUCUGCCGAGCUCGAGGUGUUUUUGCUCUAGUUUUUCUGUAGUUUUUGGUAUCAUCAGUGGGUUGUGGGGAUCAGGAUCGGGGUGGGUAAUCAAGGGGUUCGUUUGUAGUGUAUGAGUGGAAGAACGAUGAGAUUGAGUGGAUUUUUGAGUCAUUUUUUUGCAGAUUCGAUGUGAUUUAGCGUUUAAGGUUACGAGAAAAUGUAGAGAAAUAGGAGUAUUUAACCCUUUUUUUCUUCUAAUUAUUGAAAUAAUCACUAAUUCUCGUUCUCUCUCUCUCUCUCUCUCUCUCUCUCUCUCUCUCACGUAACCACACCGCACAGGCGCAGUGGGACACACCCUCGCAGGCCGCAGGCGGCAGCACCGUCGUUCGCAAACCCCCGGCAGCGGCAGUGAACUUCGACAACGGCGCUAACGAGCCGAGCUAACGAGCCGAACACGAGCUAGCUCGAUUAAGUUGCGAGCUGAUCACGAGCCGGAGUUCUCGAGCUCGUCACGAGCUCGAGCCAAACAUGAGCCGACCUUGAGACGUUCGAGUCGAGCUCGAGCUGGCUCCAGCUCGCUCGAGCUCGGCUCAUUUACAGCCCUACUUAUGACUAUAUAUGUAUCUUCUUUUGUCCUUGAAGAUGCAAUUGUAUAAAGAGAGUUAAAGUUGAAUGUAAGAAAUCUAUUUUGGUGAUUAUGUGAUGUAAAUGUACAAAUGUGAAAGCAAUGUAUGUGAUCAAAAGUCACCAUUAUACUUGUAUGGUUGUAUAGUUUAGAAUUCUUUCACUUUGGCUACUGCUUGUCCUCGUGCAAGCUAUUAUGUGUGUUUCCGCUUGUGCGUUCUCUUUGCUUGAAUUGUACAUGUGUUGAGCCUUGGGCGGACAGGGGAGGUGUUGUCCGUUCAGCAUUUGUUUGAUGUGCCCGAACCGACCAAAUAGGCCGCGCUUUGGUUGGCUCGGGGCGUGACAGAUAUAGUGGUAUCAGAGCCUAAAAGUGGAAGAAUAGGAAUGGACCUAGAGACCCUUAGGAUUGGAAAACUUUAAGGAUCUAGGAAACGUGAGUGACGUGGAAUCAAAGUUAGCGAAAGCAUGUGAUUGGGUUAAUGUUAGUAGGUCUCUAAUGUGGUUAGGGGCUAAAUUUAAGUUGAUGUUCGUUCUCUACUCCUUGUAUUGUGUUGGGCGGCCGACAACAUUAUACUUUGGAAUGAGGAAGAAUACGAUUGUUUGCUUUCGCCGGAUUGGGUAUGUAUGAGUUAUGUAAGCAUGUAGCUGAUGAAAAUUGCUACAUUUCGGGAAGUAAUGGCUCGUGGUGGACCUCGAACAAGGUCGAUACCGGAGGAGCCGAAUGCAACACCCGAGCGAUCCGGAGCAAGUGGCGACGGAGAGCUUUGGGAGCAAAUGUCCGCACUAAUUGGAGUAGUGCGACAACAAGUGGAAUCCGUUUAGCACCAGGGGGAGCAGAUUCAAAGGCUUCAAGAAGCCUUAGAGCGACAGCAGGCGGCAGCGGCUCAAGCGGGCUCCGAGCACCCUGUACCCCCUGCGGUGGUGCCGAGUGCGGCUGAUGAUGUCGUGGCGGCGGCGGUGCCAGUCACGGUGGUGACGGCUGGUUCAGAAACCUCAAAUCCCGAUAGUGCGGCGGCGGAGGCGAAGCGGGAGCGCGCGUUGGCAGUUCUCGUCACGUUUAUGAAGUUCAACCCACCUGUUUUUGAGGGGGAUAAGGUGGAGCCAUGGAUGGUGGAGUCGUGGAUUGACUCAAUCGAGAUGCUCUUCGAGGACAUUUAUGCCUUGGAGAAGGAUAAGGUGAACCUCGCUACUCAUUGCUUGGGAAAGGCGGCAAAGGUAUGGUGGAAGCGAGUAAAACGAGAUCAGUCUUCCAAUCUUCCACCUAUGCUUUGGGAGGAGUUCCGAAGGCUAAUAUUCGCGAACUACUUUCCCGAUACGGAAAAGCGGAAGUUGCAAUAGAAAUUCCGCAAGCUAAGGCAGGGUGAUCGAUUGGUGGGGGAAUCUGAGCAAGAGUUCUCUCACAUCAUCGAUUAUGUCCCUGAUGUGGUUCGUAAUGAUCGGGACCGGGUUGAUUGGUUCUUGUGAAGGCUUCAGCCGAGGAUCUAUGAGAAGGUGCAAAUCCUUAAACUCACGACCAUCACGGAGGUCCUGGAUAGAGCACUUUGGGCGGAGCACGGUAGUGCAUAUGCACGUGGAGAGCGCGAGUCGAUGGAUAAGGAAAGGGACAAAGGAAAGAAACGAGUGGCGGGUGGUGCCGAAGGCCGGCCAAAUGCUAAGAAACCCCCUCGGUAUCCCCGACGGCAGUCGAGGAGUUGGCGGCCUAUGCGGUGUGUUAUUUGCGGCGGUGAACACCGACCGUCGACUUGUCCGCAAGGCGGGGGGAAGUGUUUCAAGUGUGGUCAACCGGGACAUCUUAUCCGGGAGUGCCCGAGUUGGACAUCGUCGGCACCGACGGCAGCAUCAGUUCUGUCUUCCCCGAGGCAGCUUGCAGGGUUGCCACCAGCUAUGUCGGCUGGAUGCGUAUCAUCGCCACGUCAGCCGGAGGGAUCUAGAGUGCCAAGUGGAUGGGUUUUCGCCACUCAAGGAGCAGCUUGCAGUCCCUGAUGACGUUGUAGCAGGUAUUAUCUUGAUCAGAUGCACUAGAGCUAGAGCAUUAUUCGACACCGGUGCAUCUCAUUCAUUCAUUGGUGCACCAUUUGCGAAAAAUCAUGGUAUAGAGGUGUCUCAUUACGAGGAUUAUUGGUGGGUGAAUGCUCCAGAGCAUUCGUUCAGUGUUCAUGACGAGUGCUUGGCUUGUCCAAUUCAGAUAGGUGAUUGGAUUAUGCCGAUAGAUCUACUAGUGUUAGAUCGAAUGUGGGGCUUCGAUGUGAUCUUGGGGAUCAACUGGCUCUCCAAGUACUACGCGGUUACAGAUUGUGAAAAUAAGGUAAUCACUUUUCGUGAACCUAACCAAGAAGAGUUAGUGUAUCGGGCCUGUAAAAGCUCGCGCUUCGCGGCGACCGUGUCGGCGGCGAGGGCGAGAAAGAUGAUUAAAGGUAUAUGUGUGGCCUAUUUGGCGACCAUGGUAGAGACUCGAAGGGAGCACCCGGAACUUGGGAACAUUCGGGUAGUAUGUGAAUUUCCGGAUGCAUUUCCGACGGAGUUUCCGGGAUUGCCACUGGACCGGCAGGUCGAAUUCGUCAUUAAUUUGAUUCCCGGGGUGGCGCCAAUCUCGAAGGCUCCGUAUAGAAUGGCACCGACAGAGUUAGUAGAGUUGAAAGCUCAGUUGCAAGACUUGCUUGAUAAAGGCUUCGUGAGGCCGAGCAUGUCACUGUGGGGAGCUCCGGUGCUAUUUGUGAAAAAGAAGGAUGGUACACUUUUACUCUGCGUAGAUUAUCGCGAGUUGAACAAGGUGACGAUUAAGAACAAGUACCUGUUGCCGAGGAUUGAUGAUUUAUUCGAUCAAUUGCAAGGGUUGCGGGUGUAUUCGAAGAUUGAUCUUCAGUCGGGAUAUCAUCAGUUGAAGAUCCGGCCGAAGGAUGUGCACAAAACGGCGUAUCGUACGCGGUAUGGCCAUUAUGAGUUCACGGUAAUGCCGUUUGGGCUUACUAAUGCCCCGGCAACGUUUAUGAACUUGAUGAAUCGAGUCUUUCAACCAUUGUUGGACUAGUGCGUCGUGGUAUUCAUAGACGACAUGUUGGUGUAUUCGAAAAGUGAGGAGGAACACGAGGAGCAUUUGAGAACCGUGUUGUAAAUGCUCCGAAAAAAGAAGCUUUAUGCUAAGCUCAAAAAGUGCGAUUUUUGGCUAUCGGAGGUUACCUUCCUAAGCUAUGUGAUAUCCGGAGGCGGGGUCUCGGUAGACCCGAAGAAAGUUGAGGCAAUUAGGGAUUGGCCUCGCCUUACCAGUGUAACGGAAGUCCGCAGUUUUCUUGAACUCGCGGGGUACUAUCGGCCGUUCGUGGAGGGGUUCGCUAAGAUAACUACUCCACUAACGCGCCUCACGCAUAAAGGAGUGAGAUAUGUUUGGAGCGACGAUUGCGAUCGGAGCUUCGAGGAGUUAAAGGAAAGGUUGACAUCGACCUCGGUGCUUGCUUUGCCAACUCCGAGGGAGACCUUUGUGGUGUACAGUGAUGCUUCAUACAGUGGUCUCGGGUGUGUUUUGAUGCAGAAUGGCCGGGUGAUAGCUUACGCUUCAUGCCAAUUGAAGAGUUACAAAAAGAACUACCCGAUUCACGAUCUUGAGUUAGCCGCGGUGAUUUUCGCGCUAAAGUUAUGGAGGCAUUACUUGUAUGGUGAGCAUUGUGAGAUUUACACCGACUAUAAAAGUCUCAAGUACUUGUUCACCCAAAAGGAGUUGAAUAUGCGACAGCGGUGGUGGUUAGAGUUAUUAAAGGACUAUGAUAUCACUAUACUAUACCACCCGGAAAAAGCCAAUGUCGUGGCCGAUGCACUAAGUAGAAAAUUGGUGGAAAACUUAGCUGCGGCGAUCACGCCUCAACCGUUGUUGCAAAAAGAGAUGCAACGGUUAGGUUUGGAAGUAGUAGCUCCGGGAGUGCCGGCUACACUUGCCACAUUGGUUGUGCAACCGACCUUGUUGGAGAGGAUAAAAGAGCUACAAGCUUCCAAUGAGUAUCACCAAAAGGUACGCGGUGAAGUUGAUGGCGGUAGCACCGAUGAUUUUGGCAUUGGGACCGACGGCGUACUUCUAUUUCGGAGUCGUUUGUGUGUGCCUAAGAACGAGGACAUUUGAAGGGCGAUCAUGCAAGAAGCGCAUCAAUCUCUCUAUAGUAUACUGUAAGGAAGUGAAUUCUCGAAACUCGAGGAUUAGACUUCGACUAGAAUCGACUAUUCGUCGAGUGCGUAGGCUUCGGAAAGUCCGAAGGUGUUUAUAAUGCAUAAAGUGCAUUAAGGAAGGGUCCGCGAGAAACACCAGUGCAAAAAAUCUGCACUGGAGCAGAAUUUCUCUCGGGGACCGGUCCCUGGCAGGGAGGGACCGGUUCCNACCUUUGAGGAUUUUGGCUCGCGAAGUGAAGAAGCUUCGAAAUCGUGAUAUUCCGUAUGUAAAGGUCCUUUGGAGCAACCACGAUGAGCGGGAGGCUACGUGGGAGUUGAAGAGCAUGCUGCAGGAGCGCUAUCCCCAUCUUUUUCAGAUGGAGUCUUGAGCUACUUUGUUUUAUUUAGUUUCGCGGACGAAACUCCUUUUUAGGAGGGGUGAAUAUAACACACUAAACUUUCGCAAAUUGCACGGUUCGAGUGUUUAAUCUGUGUUCUGAGUUUUUUCAGGUAUUCUGGAGGGUCGUAGAUAGUGUUCCGACCUAUGGCUCACAUCCUGAGAAUCAAGGUUUAAAACUUAGCACUAAAAUCUCUAUAGUGAAGAUUUUAGGCUCCUCUCGAGUUCGGUUCUGCAAAGCAGAGUACCGUACCGCAUUGACCUAGUACCGGAACUAGAGGUUGUACCGGUACAACAUCGGGCUGAUACCGAUACCCAGUGCAUUUGCUCGCCAACCCGAGGCUCGGGUUUGCGCAGUCUGUAGCUUGGUAUUGGUACUCUUUCCCGCGUACCGGUACGCAGUGCAAUUCACAGACUGCUUAUUUUUUUUGGGCGUUUUUGUUAUUGUAGCAAUAUUACAAAUACCCCACGCCCCUUUGCUGGUCUCCUGAGCUUGGAAACACAGGAGAGAAGGUAGGGAAGCCCUCCACUUCCUCUCUUUGGUUUUCUUUGAUUUUGUUGGAAUUUUUGAGGAUUAAUCACCUCUUUUGCUUCCUUUUUGCUUCUUGGUGACUUUCCACCAUGGGGAGAAGGAUUGGAGCUUGGAUUGGAGCUUGUUGGAGGAGAGAUCUUCAACCCUAACUCAUUGCAAGCCUAGUUUGAAACUUCUAAAGAGAUUAGUAAUGUUUUGGUGGAUUUUUCUUGAUGAAAAUCUAGAAAUGGGAAAACUAGGGUUUAUUUGGGAAUUUUUGAUUUAGGGCUUUUGGAGCUCAAUUGAUUGGUUUACAACUUUCAUUUAGGUUGGAUUAGAAGGGCUCUAACUUCCAUUUGGAAUUUGAGAGGGUUUUUCUACAUUUUAGGUGAGUUUUGACCCUUUUCUUGGGUUGGUUAAAGAUGAACACUAUAGGUGUUCGUUUGUUUCGUCUAACCCUUUUAGAAUUUUCUUUAGGGAGCUAGGAGACUUAUGGGCACCUUCGUUCGUGCAAACGAAAGAGUUACAAGGAGCUCUUGGUGGGUUUGACCUCACCGAAAUGGGUGAACUCCCCCUAUACUUUAUUUUUUGUUGUAAAAUAAAAAUUCAUACAUAUUCAUGCUAGAUAGGGCAUAAAUAAAUUUUAGAAUGAUUAAAAUGCAUAUGUUAUGUAUCAUGAGAUUUCGUCUCUAUGUAGUAGAGAAAUAUGUGCAAAGUAUAUGGUAUUCUCAUGAUGUGUUGGAAUCAUGUUAUAUGUAGAUGAAUGACAUGCAAUUACUUGCUCAUGAACCAUGGACAUAUGCUAAAUGUAGUAGAAACGUAAUGUCAUUAAGUGACAUUGAACUUGGAGUAUGUAUAGACUUAGUAAGCUACAAUGUCAUAAAGGGAUAUUGAGCUUGGAAUAUGUUUGGGCUUGGUAAACUAUAAUGUCAUAAAGUGGCAUUAGAUUAAUAAAUGAUGGAACCGUUACAUUGUGACAUAGAGCUAGACCUUUGGGGUUGCUAGUAUUAUACCAUGUUGAGACAUGAUGAUCGAGUACUUGAGAUGAUGAUCACGUGUCACGCCCCGAGACCGCUGCCAAUUUUGUCCGGUUCAGGCGCGUCGAACAGACGCCGAACGGACAGCACCUCCCCUGUCCGUCCAAGGCCAAGCAACAUGAUCGAGUACAAGAAUUUGUCCAGGAAAUGAAAUUCUAUACAUACACAAUCAACGAAGGGCACAACAAGUGCCAACAACUAAGAGCAAGAGUCACAAGUGCAUACAAGUGAACAAAAGAGAGAUGUACCAGCUAUUACAUCACAUUGCAUUCAUUUACCUUAAUUUACAUUUACAUCUCUUCCAGAAUGGAUACAUGUUUAUUAGAUCAUCACCAAAAUACAUCAAUAGCUCUCCAAUCCUCACCUACAUAAGUCUCUCAAUACAUAGGAUAAUGCUAAUGCAAAAUGGAAAGCUACUAUGUACUACUGCUCGGGCGCGAUGCCCUUGCCGCGGUCCUCGCCCGGCGUACUCGUACUAGGCCCUGCGACAAAGUGGGGUGAAAACUAUUGUCCAUAAAAUGUCUUAAUGGCCUAUCACCAUGUCAUCAUGUCACGACCCGCGACCACCCGCCUAUUUGGCCGAGGUCGCGGCGCCGCCGACAUCGCCGAAUGGACAGGGUUUCCCCUGUACUGCGGACAGAGUCUCCCCUGUACAUUCAAGGCAACGCAAUCCAUACAAUACGAAGGUUCCAAUCAGGAACUGAUAUCAAUCAAGAUUNUUCGCUCCGAUUUCAGCACAGGUCUUUCCCAAUCAAUAUUUCACUUCUCUAAACCCAAUAAAAUAGUAUCUCAUACUAUUUUUUAUUUAUUUUCACUUUUAUAUUUAAAAUCCGGUAUGUUACAUUCCACCGCAACCGCACCGGAACCAUUUAAAUGUACACCGUGACUUCAUGAUUUGCGAUGU